rnacentral:rRNA from 1 species
GCAUAUCAAUAAGCGGAGGAAAGGAAAAUAACAAUGAUUCCCCUAGUAACUGCGAGUGAAGAGGGACAAGCUCAAAUUUUAAAUCUAUCGGGUUUUACCUGAUCGAGUUGUAAUUUGAAGAGGCGUUUUCUGCGUGUUUGGUCAGCCUAAGUCCUAUUGAAUGAGGCAUCAUGGAGGGUGAUAAUCCCGUCCGGUUGAUCAUUUGCGUUUUACGAUACGCUUUCUAAGAGUCAAGUUGUUUGGGAUUGCAGCUUAAAAUGGGAGGUAAAUUUCUCCUAAGGCUAAAUAACGGCGAGAGACCGAUAGCGAACAAGUACCGUGAGGGAAAGAUGAAAAGAACUUUGAAAAGAGAGUUAAACAGUACGUGAAAUUGUUGAAAGGGAAACGAUUGAAGCCAGUCGUACCUUCGGGUAAUCAGCCUUUCGAGUGCGAUUCUGUGGAGUGUGAGGAGCUUAACACCUUCAUGCUUUGCAUAUUUGUGCUCUUGGGUGUACUUGCCCGUGUGGUUGGUUAACAUCAAUUUUGGUUAUCAUAAAAUGAUUGGAGGAAUGUAGCUUCGAUCUCGUAUUGAAGUGUUAUAGCCUUCGGUAAAUGUGAUGAACGAGAUUGAGGAUUGCAACGGAUACCCUUCGGGGCUACCUGUCUGGUCUCUGAUCGUUGCUCUGGUGCCGAAAGCUUGCUUACGGUCAUCAAAGUCGAUGGUCAAUAGGUUAGAACGGGUUAAAUUCGUUAAGGAUGUUGACGUAAUGGCUUUAAACGACCCGUCUUGAAACACGGACCAAGGAGUCUAACAUAUAUGCGAGUGUUAGGGUAAUUAAACCCUUACGCGUAAUGAAAGUAAUUUUGGUGGGAACACUUUUGCGCACCAUCGACCGAUCAGGAUAUUUUUUGAUAGAUUUGAGUAAGAGCA